GACGAACGCUGGCGGCGUGCCUAAUACAUGCAAGUCGAACGCAGUGGGGACGGGUGAGUAACACGUGGGUAACCUCCCAUCAGAGGGGAUAACACUUGGAAACAGGUGCUAAACCGAUACUGAUGGAUGGACCCGCGGUGCAGUAGCUAGUUGGUGAGGUAACGGCUCACCAAGGCCACGAUGCCGAGCGGGCCGGAGAGGGUGAUCGGCCAAACUGGGACUGAGACACGGCCCAGACUCCUACGGGAGGCAGCAGUAGGGAAUAUUGGGCAAUGGACGAAAGUCUGACCGAGCCACGCCGCGUGAGUGAAGAAGGUUUUCGGAUCGUAAACCUCUGUUGUUAGAGAGGCGGUAUCUAACCAGAAAGCCACGGCUAACUACGUGCCAGCCGCCGCGGUAAUUC
rnacentral:rRNA from 1 species